ACGCUGGCGGCAGGCCUAACAGGUGUUAAGUCGAGCGGAUGAAGGGAGCUUGCUCCUGGAUUCAGCGGCGGACGGGUGAGUAAUGCCUAGGAAUCUGCCUGGUAGUGGGGGAUAACGUCCGGAAACGGGCGCUAAUACCGCAUACGUCCUGAGGGAGAAAGUGGGGGAUCUUCGGACCUCACGCUAUCAGAUGAGCCUAGGUCGGAUUAGCUAGUUGGUGGGGUAAAGGCCUACCAAGGCGACGAUCCGUAACUGGUCUGAGAGGAUGAUCAGUCACACUGGAACUGAGACACGGUCCAGACUCCUACGGGAGGCAGCAGUGGGGAAUAUUGGACAAUGGGCGAAAGCCUGAUCCAGCCAUGCCGCGUGUGUGAAGAAGGUCUUCGGAUUGUUAAGCACUUUAAGUUGGGAGGAAGGGCAGUAAGUUAAUACCUUGUUGUUUUGACGUUACCAAUAGAAUAAGCACCGGUUAACUUCGUGCCAGCAGCUGCGUUAAUACGAAGGGUGUAAGUGUUUAUCGGAAUUACUGGGCGUAAAGCGUGCGUUAGGUGGGUUCAGCAAGUUGGAUGUGAAAUCCCCGGGCUCCUACCUGGGAAACUGUAUUCAAAACUACUGUAGCUAGAGACGGUUAGAGGGGUGGGUGGAAUUUCCUGUGUAGCGGGGGAAAUUGCGUAUAUAUUAGGAGGGAACACUAGGUGGUGGAAGGCGACCCCCUGGUACUGAAUACUGAACACUGAGGUGCAAAAGCGUGGGGGAGCAAACAGGAUUUAGAUCCCCUGGUAGUCCACGCCGUAAACGAUGUCGACUAGCCGUGGGAUCCUUAAGAUCUUAGUGGCGCAGCUAACGCGAUAAGUCGACCCCCUGGGGAGUACGGCCGCAAGGUUAAAACUCAAAUGAAUUGACGGGGGCCCGCACAAGCGGUGGAAGCAUGUGGUUUAAUUCGAAGCAACGCGAAGAACCUUACCUGGCCUUGACAUGCUGAGAACUUUCCAGAGAUGGAUUGGUGCCUUCGGGAACUCAGACACAGGUGCUGCAUGGCUGUCGUCAGCUCGUGUCGUGAGAUGUUGGGUUAAGUCCCGUAACGAGCGCAACCCUUGUCCUUAGUUACCAGCACCUCGGGUGGGCACUCUAAGGAGACUGCCGGUGACAAACCGGAGGAAGGUGGGGAUGACGUCAAGUCAUCAUGGCCCUUACGGCCAGGGCUACACACGUGCUACAAUGGUCGGUACAAAGGGUUGCCAAGCCGCGAGGUGGAGCUAAUCCCAUAAAACCGAUCGUAGUCCGGAUCGCAGUCUGCAACUCGACUGCGUGAAGUCGGAAUCGCUAGUAAUCGUGAAUCAGAAUGUCACGGUGAAUACGUUCCCGGGCCUUGUACACACCGCCCGUCACACCAUGGGAGUGGGUUGCUCCAGAAGUAGCUAGUCUAACCGCAAGGGGGACGGUUACCACGGAGUGAUUCAUGACUGGGGUGAAGUCGUAACAAGG
rnacentral:rRNA from 1 species